CGGAGAGAAAGCCGGGACUUGAGGUGGUCUCCUAGCAGGAGGAGCGAGAGAGCCCAGCAGCGAUACGGUGGUUUUCGACCCAGCUAGGGGCCAGGCCGUACGAUUGGGAGCCCGGGGCAGCCCCCCGCGCAGUCACCACGACGCGGCACCCGUGGACGGGCGUUGGCUCUGCGUGGUGGGCGGCUGGGACGGGUCUCGCCGCUUGGCCACAGUGACCGCACUGGACACAGAGCGCGGUGUGUGGGAGGCGUGGACAGGGACCCCUGGUGACUGCCCCCCCGCCGGCCUCAGUAGUCACACCUGCACCCGAAUCUCUGACCGAGAGCUGCAGGUGGCUGGCCGGGAGGGCGGUAUCCACACUCAGCGACGCUAUGGAAGCAUCUACACAUUAAGGCUGGACCCCAGCGCCCGCACCUAUUGGUAUGGCACCCUCCGCCCAAAACCUUUCACUCUCAUCCACACUCUCGAAAAACAAAAGCCUAAGCAGAUUUCUCAGGCAAUUUAUCCACCUCCUCACUCUAGCACCCUCCUUCCAGGGGAACCUACCAUGUUUAAGCUAGCUGAGCUCUCUACAGUAUUACCCUCCCUCUUAUCCCACCUACCGCACUGCCCCAUGCCUCUUCUCCAUCCAUCCUUGGCAAGGGCGGUGGCACUUACAUUUUCCAGAAAACCCACUCAGCCCUGAAUUUCUGCAUGUCCACAGCUACAAGCAAGAAGGCUGCCACACAGCCUCACGCUCAGGUCACUGUGCGGCCCUGCUCCAAACUCCUGGACCC
rnacentral:lncRNA from 1 species